GACGAACGCUGGCGGCGUGCUUAACACAUGCAAGUCGAACGGAAAGGCCCUGCUUUUGUGGGGUGCUCGAGUGGCGAACGGGUGAGUAACACGUGAGUAACCUGCCCUUGACUUUGGGAUAACUUCAGGAAACUGGGGCUAAUACCGGAUAGGAGCUCCUGCUGCAUGGUGGGGGUUGGAAAGUUUCGGCGGUUGGGGAUGGACUCGCGGCUUAUCAGCUUGUUGGUGGGGUAGUGGCUUACCAAGGCUUUGACGGGUAGCCGGCCUGAGAGGGUGACCGGCCACAUUGGGACUGAGAUACGGCCCAGACUCCUACGGGAGGCAGCAGUGGGGAAUAUUGCACAAUGGGCGGAAGCCUGAUGCAGCAACGCCGCGUGCGGGAUGACGGCCUUCGGGUUGUAAACCGCUUUCGCCUGUGACGAAGCGUGAGUGACGGUAAUGGGUAAAGAAGCACCGGCUAACUACGUGCCAGCAGCCGCGGUGAUACGUAGGGUGCGAGCGUUGUCCGGAUUUAUUGGGCGUAAAGGGCUCGUAGGUGGUUGAUCGCGUCGGAAGUGUAAUCUUGGGGCUUAACCCUGAGCGUGCUUUCGAUACGGGUUGACUUGAGGAAGGUAGGGGAGAAUGGAAUUCCUGGUGGAGCGGUGGAAUGCGCAGAUAUCAGGAGGAACACCAGUGGCGAAGGCGGUUCUCUGGGCCUUUCCUGACGCUGAGGAGCGAAAGCGUGGGGAGCGAACAGGCUUAGAUACCCUGGUAGUCCACGCUGUAAACGGUGGGUACUAGGUGUGGGGUCCAUUCCACGGGUUCCGUGCCGUAGCUAACGCUUUAAGUACCCCGCCUGGGGAGUACGGCCGCAAGGCUAAAACUCAAAGGAAUUGACGGGGCCCCGCACAAGCGGCGGAGCAUGCGGAUUAAUUCGAUGCAACGCGUAGAACCUUACCUGGGUUUGACAUGGAUCGGGAGUGCUCAGAGAUGGGUGUGCCUCUUUUGGGGUCGGUUCACAGGUGGUGCAUGGCUGUCGCCAGCUCGUGUCGUGAGAUGUUGGGUUAAGUCCCGCAACGAGCGCAACCCUUGUUCACUGUUGCCAGCACGUUAUGGUGGGGACUCAGUGUAGACCGCCGGGGUCAACUCGGAGGAAGGUGGGGAUGACGUCAAGUCAUCAUGCCCCUUAUGUCCAGGGCUUCACGCAUGCUACAAUGGCUGGUACAGAGAGUGGCGAGCCUGUGAGGGUGAGCGAAUCUCGGAAAGCCGGUCUCAGUUCGGAUUGGGGUCUGCAACUCGACCUCAUGAAGUCGGAGUCGCUAGUAAUCGCAGAUCAGCAACGCUGCGGUGAAUACGUUCCCGGGGCU
rnacentral:rRNA from 1 species